AGAGAGCCUUAUAUGACAGAUUUCUGUGUCCAUGGAAUGGUCACAUCUUCUAGCCAUGGAAGGUGAACAGAUCAACAAACAGAAUGCACAUGAAAUGUCAUUUUUGGGAGGGACACGGGACCAGAAAUAGCUGACCACAGCCUGGAUCCUGAAGUGUUGGUUGAGUGAACCAAAGAAGAACCUAUGAACUUCCCUUUCAUCGUGAGCCUCAUGAACAAGCCUCCCACAACUCACACUACCGCUAAUGCCAAGCUUCUGAGAUCUCCCACUUAUAGUGGUAAUCCACCAAAUUAACAAAUUCUGGUAGAGACUUCAAGAUAUUGCUACUCUUGAGAUACUGAAAUCUGGGCCAAGAAGAGGAUGAUAUAAGCUUUGUGAAGAGAACGGUUGUAUUGUUAAUUCUUCUAGAUUUCUAGCAGCUUUUGAUUCCCACCAAGAAUGGUGUCCUAAAAGAAGAGGCGGCUGAGAUGGGAACAGUGGUCAAGGUAUUCUAUUAAUUUAUACUAAACUGACUUAUUUCAGAUGGUAUAAGAAAUUUAUGAUGCUAAGUCCCACAGAAUUCCUAUUCAACAACUCUAUGGGAGUUUUGGGAGAUCUUAUUUAAAUAUUUGGGAUCUUGAGCCAUUAUUCUAACCUCAAACAAAACAAGAAAGAAUUGUUUGCCAUAUUUGUUUGUUUGUUUGUUUUAAAAAAGUUGUAUGGCCACCCAUCUUAAAACACAACUCUAAGUGACUCACAAGAACAAUAAAACCUAGAACUAUAAGAAAACCCAUAAAACAUAAAAUCAUAAAACCAAGACAAAAUCUGGUGCCUGGUGCCCCUUGAAUCCCCGAUGAGGUGAGUUGUUCCAUAAGACAGGGGCAGCCACAGGAAAUGCAGGUCCCUCUAGAGGGCAGGAUUUCAGGGAAGGGACCUGGAAUGUGCCUAUCGUAUCCAAUCCGGUAAGACAGGCAAGUAUGCUCAGGGCAGAAUGGGGCUUUUCGUCUGCUACCCUUGGCCGCGCCUGCUUCUCCGACAGGCUUUCGCCUCGGGGUUAUUCGCCUCUAGCUUUUCUCCUUGGCUGACAUGCCCCCGGCCAGUUGGCCCCAGUCCCUCUGUCCCACAUGCUUCGGCAUGGCCCAUUCAAUGCCACACCCUUCGCCCCAGGCUUUUAGCCUUCUGGGAUGGUUAGCCACCAGCCAAUUGG